rnacentral:rRNA from 1 species
CAGCCGCCGCGGUAAUACGGAGGAUCCAAGCGUUAUCCGGAUUUAUUGGGUUUAAAGGGUGCGUAGGCGGCCUAUUAAGUCAGGGGUGAAAGACGGUAGCUCAACUAUCGCAGUGCCUUUGAUACUGAUGGGCUUGAAUGUACUUGAGGUAGGCGGAAUGUGACAAGUAGCGGUGAAAUGCAUAGAUAUGUCACAGAACACCAAUUGCGAAGGCAGCUUACUAAAGUAUGAUUGACGCUGAGGCACGAAAGCGUGGGGAUCAAACAGGAUUAGAGACCCCAGUAGUCCCUGUCUCUUAUAC